AUGCGUUGUUGGGUAGGGGAGCGUUCUGUAAGCCUGUGAAGGUGUGCUGUGAGGCAUGCUGGAGGUAUCAGAAGUGCGAAUGCUGACAUAAGUAACGAUAAAGCGGGUGAAAAGCCCGCUCGCCGGAAGACCAAGGGUUCCUGUCCAACGUUAAUCGGGGCAGGGUGAGUCGACCCCUAAGGCGAGGCCGAAAGGCGUAGUCGAUGGGAAACAGGUUAAUAUUCCUGUACUUGGUGUUACUGCGAAGGGGGGACGGAGAAGGCUAUGUUGGCCGGGCGACGGUUGUCCCGGUUUAAGCGUGUAGGCUGGUUUUCCAGGCAAAUCCGGAAAAUCAAGGCUGAGGCGUGAUGACGAGGCACUACGGUGCUGAAGCAACAAAUGCCCUGCUUCCAGGAAAAGCCUCUAAGCAUCAGGUAACAUCAAAUCGUACCCCAAACCGACACAGGUGGUCAGGUAGAGAAUACCAAGGCGCUUGAGAGAACUCGGGUGAAGGAACUAGGCAAAAUGGUGCCGUAACUUCGGGAGAAGGCACGCUGAUAUGUAGGUGAAGUCCCUCGCGGAUGGAGCUGAAAUCAGUCGAAGAUACCAGCUGGCUGCAACUGUUUAUUAAAAACACAGCACUGUGCAAACACGAAAGUGGACGUAUACGGUGUGACGCCUGCCCGGUGCCGGAAGGUUAAUUGAUGGGGUCAGCGCAAGCGAAGCUCUUGAUCGAAGCCCCGGUAAACGGCGGCCGUAACUAUAACGGUCCUAAGGUAGCGAAAUUCCUUGUCGGGUAAGUUCCGACCUGCACGAAUGGCGUAAUGAUGGCCAGGCUGUCUCCACCCGAGACUCAGUGAAAUUGAACUCGCUGUGAAGAUGCAGUGUACCCGCGGCAAGACGGAAAGACCCCGUGAACCUUUACUAUAGCUUGACACUGAACAUUGAGCCUUGAUGUGUAGGAUAGGUGGGAGGCUUAGAAGUGUGGACGCCAGUCUGCAUGGAGCCGACCUUGAAAUACCACCCUUUAAUGUUUGAUGUUCUAACGUUGACCCGUAAUCCGGGUUGCGGACAGUGUCUGGUGGGUAGUUUGACUGGGGCGGUCUCCUCCUAAAGAGUAACGGAGGAGCACGAAGGUUGGCUAAUCCUGGUCGGACAUCAGGAGGUUAGUGCAAUGGCAUAAGCCAGCUUGACUGCGAGCGUGACGGCGCGAGCAGGUGCGAAAGCAGGUCAUAGUGAUCCGGUGGUUCUGAAUGGAAGGGCCAUCGCUCAACGGAUAAAAGGUACUCCGGGGAUAACAGGCUGAUACCGCCCAAGAGUUCAUAUCGACGGCGGUGUUUGGCACCUCGAUGUCGGCUCAUCACAUCCUGGGGCUGAAGUAGGUCCCAAGGGUAUGGCUGUUCGCCAUUUAAAGUGGUACGCGAGCUGGGUUUAGAACGUCGUGAGACAGUUCGGUCCCUAUCUGCCGUGGGCGCUGGAGAACUGAGGGGGGCUGCUCCUAGUACGAGAGGACCGGAGUGGACGCAUCACUGGUGUUCGGGUUGUCAUGCCAAUGGCACUGCCCGGUAGCUAAAUGCGGAAGAGAUAAGUGCUGAAAGCAUCUAAGCACGAAACUUGCC
rnacentral:rRNA from 1 species